rnacentral:rRNA from 1 species
AAUUCGCCCUUAGAGUUUGAUCCUGGCUCAGGAUGAACGCUAGCUACAGGCUUAACACAUGCAAGUCGAGGGGCAGCAUUUUAGUUUGCUUGCAAACUGAAGAUGGCGACCGGCGCACGGGUGAGUAACACGUAUCCAACCUGCCGAUAACUCCGGGAUAGCCUUUCGAAAGAAAGAUUAAUACCGGAUGGCAUACGAAUAUCGCAUGAUAUUUUUAUUAAAGAAUUUCGGUUAUCGAUGGGGAUGCGUUCCAUUAGUUUGUUGGCGGGGUAACGGCCCACCAAGACUACGAUGGAUAGGGGUUCUGAGAGGAAGGUCCCCCACAUUGGAACUGAGACACGGUCCAAACUCCUACGGGAGGCAGCAGUGAGGAAUAUUGGUCAAUGGGCGCGAGCCUGAACCAGCCAAGUAGCGUGAAGGAUGAAGGCUCUAUGGGUCGUAAACUUCUUUUAUAUGGGAAUAAAGUUUUCCACGUGUGGAAUCUUGUAUGUACCAUAUGAAUAAGGAUCGGCUAACUCCGUGCCAGCAGCCGCGGUAAUACGGAGGAUCCGAGCGUUAUCCGGAUUUAUUGGGUUUAAAGGGAGCGUAGGUGGAUUGUUAAGUCAGUUGUGAAAGUUUGCGGCUCAACCGUAAAAUUGCAGUUGAAACUGGCAGUCUUGAGUACAGCAGAGGUGGGCGGAAUUCGUGGUGUAGCGGUGAAAUGCUUAGAUAUCACGAAGAACUCCGAUUGCGAAGGCGGCUCACUAGACUGUCACUGACACUAAUGCUCGAAAGUGUGGGUAUCAAACAGGAUUAGAUACCCUGGUAGUCCACACAGUAAACGAUGAAUACUCGCUGUUUGCGAUAUACAGUAAGCGGCCAAGCGAAAGCAUUAAGUAUUCCACCUGGGGAGUACGCCGGCAACGGUGAAACUCAAAGGAAUUGA